AAAAAAAUCAAACAAAAUCUCAGGAAAAUUUCCAUAACGAGGGAAGUGACUCGCCGGGAACAGUACCACUUCGCUGCAAAAUUUACAUAAGCCAACCCCAUUGAAGACCUCUAAGGCGGCGCCUCUCCUUCAACCCAAGCCCCGCCCCACCCCUGUCCACAGGACCAAUGGCCAGUCCCCUGUGACGAGGAAGUGACGUCAUGAUUUCAUCAACCUUGGUAAUCGACCUACUUACAACCAUAGAAGAGACCUUGGACUUCCUUGGUGGCUCAGACGAAUACACGAAAUGAGGAUUCUGAAAUAGAAACUGAUGACUAAAAUAAGGGCAAGAAAGAUGGCCUGUUUGCUUGGAGAGUGAGGCCAGAAAUAGAAGGCUCUGGGCCUCUCCUACUGCUUCAGUGGACUGAGCCUGUGUUCCAGCUGCUCCCGCAGGCGAUCGUUAAUGCAGAUGGACUCCUCCAGGCUCUGGCACAGGUUCCAGAUUUCACCAAGAUGCUCCUCUAGCAGAUAUCCAGAAGUUUACCUGAGCUUGCCUGAAGAGCAUACUGGCUUCAAACACAGGACCGGUGAUGCUAAGCAAGCCCCAGUGGCCUCCUCCCAUACAGGGGUCUGUGUCAGGGAGUUGGAAUACAUGUACAGUGACCUGGGCAACUGGAGCCUCAACUGGGCCCACACACUGGAAACACAGAAAGGAGAGAGGGGAUGGAAGAAAGGAAAUCAGCAGGUUCGGAGGAUGAGAAAACCCAAAGAAAAGCGAGGCAAUGGUCGAGGAGCUGUUUGCCAAGGGAGGUGAGGACAAGGACAAGUGGAGCUUGGAAAGUUCAGUAGGAAAUGAGGAACGCACAGCAUCAUCUAAGUUCUCAAGGAGCAACCUGAGCUGAGCAGGAAGGACCAGGAGAGUAAUUUAGUCCCCAGAGAACUUGUGCACCUGCCGAGGAGAUCCACACGACGGAUCCAGUUGGUUUAUACUGCUGGGAGCACCAAUCCCAGGAGGAGGAUGAGGUUUAUACUGCUGGGAGCACCGAUCCCAGCAGGAAGAUGAUGGGACCUUGAGGCUCUGCACGAGACCCCCAGCUUGAAACUUGGACGUGCCCACAUGUGGAUGUCCUCCAAGUAAGGGUGUAUGUAAUAAGGUGGAUAAAUGGUGUUUGGAGAAACAUUAGAGAUCUUCAUUCUUAU
rnacentral:lncRNA from 1 species